rnacentral:lncRNA from 1 species
UUCCAUUUGCUUCGCAAAAUUCUAGAAACUCCCUUGACGUGAAUUCUCCGCCUCGAUCGGACCUUAGGGCCUUGAUUUGUCGUCCGCUCUCCUUCUCGACGGUAGCUUUGAAUUUCUUGAAUGCAUCAAAUACUUCUGACUUCUGCUUCAAGAAAUAUACCCACGUUUUUCUUGAAAAAUCAUCAAUGAAUAGCAGAAAAUAAUUAUUUUUAACCCAGGGAGCUUGGAUUUAUCGGCCCACACACAUCAGCAUGAAUCAACUCCAGUGGCUUUUGAGCUCUUGAGCUUGACUCCUUUGGGAAUGGCUUUCUGAACUGCUUCCCGAGUAGACAACCUUCGCAGAGUUGAUCGGGAUGCUUGAUGGAUGGUAGUCCUCUCACCAUCUCCUUCUUUGACAAUAACUCCAAUCCACCAAAGUUCAAGUGCCCAAACCGAAGAUGCCACAACCAAGACUUAUCUUGGUAACACGCUUUCAGGCAUUUUGCCACGUCAUUUCGAAUAUUCAAUAAGAACAUUCUAUUUUUAGACAUUGGCACAUUGGCAAUAAGAUUAUUUUUGUCAUCUCUUAUUGAAAGGUUAUAAUCUCUCAUGUGAAUAUCAUAACCUUUCUCUAAGAGUUGUCCCAAACUCAAGAUAUUAUUUUUCAUAUUGGGCACGUAAUAAACGUUGGAAAUAAAUUCAUGAUUUCCAUUCUUCAAGCGAAUUAAAUUUUCCUUUUCCUUUAACUGGAAUUUUAGAUUCAUCACCAAAGGAGACGUUGCCACUUACCGACUCAUCGAGCUCCACGAACAUGUUUCUCUUCCCGCACAUGUGAUUGCUAGCACCAGUGUCGAGGUACCACGUGUCAUCUUGUCUUCCGGCUUCUCCUUUAUAUGCCAGAAGCACACUACCAAUAUCUUGAUUUGCAUUUUCGGCAUAAUUGGCCUUCUCUUCGAUUCUUAAUUUUUCACUUCUGCACUCGGAAGCAUAGUGCCCAAAUUUAUGGCAAUUAUAACAUUUUAUUGAAGAUUUAUCGUACCUCGACGGCGGGUUGCUCCUCCCCCGACCACUUGUAAACUCAUUUCUUUCACUACUGUUGACGAAGCCUCCUCGUCUUCGUCCACGUCCACGUGCUCGGCCUCUGCCUCGAUCUUGCGCUUGGCCACGUCCUCUCCCGGACUGUCCAUAGCCAUUGCUCGGACCUUCUUCUUUCUCUUUCGGGCUUACUUGCAACUUUAAAAGUUGCUCUGAAAUUUCUUGCUUCUCUUUUGCUUCUCCUCAUAUGCUUGCAACGACCCCAACAAGAGAUCGAUUGUCAUCUCCUCCAAAUUUUUAGUUUCUUCGAUCGUCACCACAAUGUGCUCAAACUUUGAGGUUAGUGACCGUAAUAUUUUCUCCAUAAUUCUUACAUCCUCCAAUUUUUCACCAUUUCUUUUCAUUUGAUUAGAAACCGCCAAGACUCUUGAAAAAUAAUCCGAAAUCGAUUCGGACUCUUUCAUAUGCAAAGACUCAAACUCUCCUCUUAAAGUUUGAAGUCGUACAUUUUUUACUUGCUCCGCUCCUUUGCACGCGUUCUGGAGCUUCUCCCACGCUUCCUUGGCGGUACUCGCAUUCGAGAUCUUCUCGAAAUCGUCAUCCCCCAGUGCUUGAUAAAUGAGACAGAGAGCCUUCUUGUCUCUCUUUCUCGCAUCUCGCAAUCUAUCCUUUUGUUGUUGGGAUAGUGCGGCCUCGUCCUGCGGCUCCUCGUAGCCACUAUCCACGAUCUCCCAAACGUCGUGGGCUCCCAAUAGCGCCUUCAUCUUGAUGCUCCAAUUGUCGAAGUUGCUCUUGUUGAGCAUGGGGACUUGAAACGAUUGUAAAUUCGCCAUACCACAAGUAGAAUCUUGUGGCUCUGAUACCACUUUGUUGGAAAUAUGGAAAAUAUAUAUGUGGGAGAAUUAAUUAAUUUGGAGGGAUUGAUUGGAUGGAUGACUUUAUAUUAAAGGUAAUAGUGUUUGGAAAUGUGGACGUGUGUGUUAGGAAAAGCAAGGAAAUAUUUUAUUUCUCCACUAAUCACUUUUUCUUCACAUCGCAAAUUGAAAUGAUACAAUACAUAUUUAUAAUGUACAAUGUCGGUUAUUUCUUCAAUGACCGACUUAACUUAUGGUUUAAAAUAGUCUCUAGAAUUUUCUUCUAAUUUCCUUCACUUAGUAGGUUUUUCUAGAAUACUCUAUAUUUUUCUUUUUCUUUCUUUUAUUUUAUUUGAUUCUAGAUUUUUCCUUCUACAAAUCAAGUUUAAUAAUUUAUUAUUCCAACACCAAGCUCUUCCAGUAAACUUCGUAGCCAAACUGCAUGACAAACACUGGAUGUAGCAGCCACAUAUUCAGCUUCACAAGUUGAUAGCGUGACUAUGGGUUGCUUCUUGGACAUCCAGGUGAAAGCAGUGUCUCCCAUAAAAAACACGAAUCCGCUCGUACUCUUGCGGCCAUCAUUAUCUCCAGCCCAAUCGCUAUCACUAUAGCCAACAAGCUUAUAAUCAUGAGUAUUUGAAUAGAAUAGGCCGUAGUUGAGCGUACCUUUGAGGUAGCGAAGAAUUCUCUUUGCCGCCUUAAAAUGCGUAGUGGUUGGAUUCUCCAUAUAGCGACUCACGAGUCCUGUCGCAUAAAGAAUGUCCGGCCUUGUGCAAGUUAAGUACCGUAAGCUUCCAACCAAGCUCUUGAACAAUGUCGGGUCCACCUUUUCUCCUCCAUCGUUCUUGGAUAAUUUUAUCCCGCAUUCCACUGGCGUGUUGAUUGCUUUGCAGCCCUCCAUCUUGAACUUCUUGAGGAUUUCCUUGGCGUAUCCUUCUUGUGUGAUGAAGAUCCCAUCUUCGAGUUGCUUGACUUCCACGCCGAGGUAGUACGCCAUCAGCCCAAUGUCUGUCAUCUCAAACUCCUUUGACAUGGCCUUCUUGAACUCCUCAAUCAUCUUUGGAUUAUUUCCUGUGAAAAUCAAAUCAUCUACAUACAAGCACACAAUUAAGACAUCUCCUCCGUUGGCUUUCACGUAGAGAGCAUGCUCGUGAGGGCAUUUGGUGAAACCAUUCUCCUCCAAGUACUUAUCGAUCCUGCUAUUCCAUGCCCUUGGUGCUUGCUUUAAUCCAUAUAGGGCCUUCUUUAACUUCAAGACUUUAUCUUCUUGCCCUUUUACCUCGUAGCCCAUUGGUUGCUUGAUAUAGACUUCUUUGUCUAUAUACCCAUUCAAGAAGGCUGACUUGACAUCCAUUUGAUAAAUCUUCCAUCUAUUUUGGGCUGCAAGAGAGAGUAUUAGUCUAAUAGUUUCUAAGCGAGCGACGGGAGCAAAUACCUCAUCAUAAUCGAUUCCAGCUCUUUGACUAUAUCCUUUCACGACGAGCCUCGCUUUAUAUCUUUCCACUUCACCUUUGGAAUUCUUCUUAACUUUAUACACCCACUUGACUCCAAUGGCCUUGUGCCAUUUUGGUAAUGUCACGAGCUCCCAUGUAUCAUUCUUCUUUAUGGCUUUGAUCUCUUCAUCCAUCGCGACUCGCCAAUUUUCACUGUUUGCUGCUUCAGGUUCAUAAUCAGCAGAUAGGCAAAACAAGGUGAGAUCUUCUAACCUUUCAGUAUCCUCAUAAAUCUCGUCCAAACUCCUUGCUCGUGGUGUGGCUCUUUCAUUUAAGAAAGAUGGUGGCGAGUCUUCAGUGACUGGUACUGGUGAAGCUGGUGGAGUCACUGGCUCUUGUUGGACUUCUCCAACUUGCUCUUCUGCUCUUUGUUCUUCUAACUGUGGGAUGUAGGUGAAGUCACCGUUGGAGCUGAAAUCCCAGACUCCUUCUUCGUCGAACUCCACGUCUCGACUUAUCACUGUUUUCUUGGUAUUUGGAUUAUAUAACUUAUAGCCUUUAGAGUUAGAGUCGUACCCGAUAAAGAUGAAUGCUUCACUUUUAUCAUCGAGCUUCUUCCUUCUCUCAUCUGGUACAUGCACGUAGGCUUUGCUUCCAAAUACCUUUAGGUGGGAAAUUCCUGGCUUUCUCCCGCUCCAGGCUUCUUGUGGAGUCAUUCCCCACACGCUCCUUGUCGGCGAUCGGUUGGAUAGGUACACCGCGCACGCCACUGCUUCGGCCCAAAACUCUUUAGGCAGAUUCUUCGUCUUUAGCAUGCUCCUCGCCAUCUCCAUGAUUGUUCUGUUUUUUCUUUCCGCCACUCCAUUUUGUUGGGGGGAUCUCGGAACUGUCAGGGGCCGUCGAAUUCCAUUUGCUUCGCAAAAUUCUAGAAACUCCCUUGAUGUGAAUUCUCCACCUCGAUCGGACCUCAGGGCCUUGAUUUGUCGUCCGCUCUCCUUCUCGACGGCAACUUUGAAUUUCUUGAAUGCAUCAAAUACUUCUGACUUCUGCUUCAAGAAAUAUACCCACGUUUUUCUAGAAAAAUCAUCAAUGAAUAGCAGAAAAUAAUUAUUUUUACCGAGGGAGCUUGGAUUUAUCGGCCCACACACGUCAGCAUGAAUCAACUCCAGUGGCUUUUGAGCUCUUGAGCUUGACUCCUUUGGGAAUGGCUUUCUGAACUGCUUCCCGAGUAGACAACCUUCGCAGAGUUGAUCGGGAUGCUUGAUGGAUGGUAAACCUCUCACCAUCUCUUUCUUUGAUAACAACUCCAAACCACCAAAGUUCAAGUGCCCAAACCGAAGAUGCCACAACCAAGACUUAUCUUGGUAACACGCUUUCAGGCAUUUUGCCAUGUCAUUUCGAAUAUUCAAUAAGAACAUUCUAUUUUUAGACAUUGGCACCUUGGCAAUAAGAUUAUUUUUGCCAUCUCUUAUUGAAAGGUUAUAAUCUCUCAUGUGAAUAUCAUAACCUUUCUCUAAGAGUUGUCCCAAACUCAAGAUAUUAUUUUUCAUAUUGGGCACGUAAUAAACGUUGGAAAUAAAUUCAUGAUUUCCAUUCUUCAAGCGAAUUAAAAUUUUCCCUUUUCCUUUAACUGGAAUUUUAGAUUCAUCACCAAAGGAGACGUUGCCACUUACCGACUCAUCGAGCUCCACAAACAUAUUUCUUUUCCCGCACAUGUGAUUGCUAGCACCAGUGUCGAGGUACCACGUGUCAUCUUGUCUUCCAGCUUCUCCUUUAUAUGCCAGAAGCACACUACCAAUAUCUUGAUUUGUACUUUCGGCGUAAUUGGCCUUCUCUUCAAUCCUUACUUUUUCACUUCUGCACUCGGAAGCAUAGUGCCCAAAUUUAUGGCAAUUAUAACACUUUAUUGAAGAUUUAUCGUACCUCGACUGCGGGUUGCUCCUCCCCCGACCACUUGUAAACUCAUUUCUUUCACCACUAUUGACGAAGCCUCCUCGUCCUCGUCCACGUCCACGACCUCUUCCUCGAUCUUGACCUUGACCACGUCCUCUCCCGAAUUGUCCAUGGCCAUUGCUCGGACCUUCUUCUUUUUCUUUCGGGCUUACUUGCAACUUUAAAAGUUGCUCUGAAAUUUCUUGCUUCUUCUUUUGCUUCUCCUCAUAUGCUUGCAGCGACCCCAACAAGAGAUCGAUCGUCAUCUCCUCCAAAUUUUUAGUUUCUUCGAUCGUCACCACAAUGUGCUCAAACUUUGGGGUUAGUGAGCGCAAUAUUUUCUCCAUAAUUCUUACAUCCUCCAAUUUUUCACCAUUUCUUUUCAUUUGAUUAGACACCGCCAAGACUCUUGAAAAAUAAUCCGAAAUUGACUCGGACUCUUUCAUAUGUAAAGACUCAAACUCUCCUCUUAAAGUUUGAAGUCGUACCUUUUUUACUUGCUCCGCUCCUUUGCACGCGUUCUGGAGCUUCUCCCACGCUUCUUUGGCGGUACUUGCAUUCGAGAUUUUCUCGAAAUCAUCGUCCCCUAGCGCUUGAUAAAUGAGACAGAGAGCCUUCUUGUCUCUCUUUCUCGCGUCUCGCAAUCUAUCCUUUUGUUGUUGGGAUAGUGCGGCCUCGUCCUGCGGCUCCUCGUAGCCAUUCUCCACGAUCUCCCAAACGUCGUGGGCUCCCAAUAGCGCCUUCAUCUUGAUGCUCCAAUUGUCGAAGUUGCUCUUGUUGAGCAUGGGGACUUGAAACGAUUGUAAAUUCGCCAUACCACAAGUAGAAUCUUGUGGCUCUGAUACCACUUUGUUGGAAUUUAAGAAAUAUAUAAAGGAAAAUUUGGCUAAAUUUGGAGGAUAGAGAAUAAAUGUGUAGUGUGUGAGAGGACGUGUGUGUUAGAAAAAAAGAAAAUAGUGAUGAAACUAUUUAUGUGAAUGGGGUAAGUGGACGUAUAGGUGGACUUGUGGGUUUUUUAUUAUACAAACUCACUUUUCUUCACACUCCACCUUUACAACUCAUACACAUAUAUAUAGUUGUCCAAUGUCGGCUACUAAACCGACUUUGCUAAAAAAUCUAGCUAAACCGACCUUGCUAGAAUAAUCUAGCUAAUUUUUUCUUCUAGAUUUCUCCACAAUUUUCCUAAUUUCACACAUGCAUGCAGCUUUCUUUUACUUGGGAAUUAGAUUUCCACUGUCUCGAUUUUUCUAGAUAAUUCCUAUAAUUUAUUUCAAAUCAAGUUUAAUUCUAAC